UGCGUCAGUUUGACAGACCAGCAGUUGCUUAUCUGCUGCCAAGGUUUACACUACAGAUGCGAGGAAAAACAUGUCCUCACGCUUUCUGCCUGAUUGUAGCAUCCCAGAUUGACUUGGAAUUU
rnacentral:snoRNA from 1 species